rnacentral:rRNA from 1 species
GACGAACGCUGGCGGCGUGCUUAACACAUGCAAGUCGAACGAUGAAGGAGAGCUUGCUCUCCGGAUUAGUGGCGAACGGGUGAGUAACACGUGACUAACCUGCCCCUUUCUCUGGGAUAACGCUCCGAAAGGAGUGCUAAUACCGGAUACGAACUCUGAACACAUGUUCGGAGUUGGAAAGUUUUUCGGAAAGGGAUGGAGUCGCGGCCUAUCAGCUUGUUGGUGAGGUAACGGCUCACCAAGGCGACGACGGGUAGCCGGCCUGAGAGGGCGACCGGCCACACUGGGACUGAGACACGGCCCAGACUCCUACGGGAGGCAGCAGUGGGGAAUAUUGCACAAUGGGCGAAAGCCUGAUGCAGCGACGCCGCGUGAGGGAUGAAGGUCUUCGGAUUGUAAACCUCUUUCAGUAGGGACGAAGCGAAAGUGACGGUACCUAAAGAAGAAGCACCGGCUAACUACGUGCCAGCCGCCGCCGUAA